UCUUUUCUUUAAUAUGUCCCAUCGCUCACGAGCGUCUGGUCCGCUGUUUUUGCGUGUUUACGUUUUAACGCACAGUCUCCACUAAAACCACAAACUGCUGAGACGCGAUUGGACAAAAACCACCACACGGAAAAUGUUAAGAAGCAGCAGCAGCAGCAGCAGCAGCGCUGGGCUACGAACGGGGAAGGCGAGCACACAGCCCCGGGCGUCAAGACAACAAGGUCAAUAAUCAGCCUUCGACGGGUCCACACCCUCCACGUCCGGACGCGUUCGGCUUGUAGCAGGAACAUAACCCGCUAUAGAGACGCAUCUGAUAUCCCGUCGCACAGGGGCAGCGAUCGGCAGCGAAAAGGCUUAAAGCGGAGCUAGCAGAUGAUGCCGCUGUCAUGACGUCAGAGGGAGAAGAUGCUCCUCCGGGUUCCAGGGGGGAGGAGGGAGGAGGGGGGAGGACCCAGCAUCCUGGUGAUGCUGCCGCUGCUCCUCGCAGGACGUCUCCCCAGCAGCGGCAGCAUCGCUGCUCGACCGAUGAAUAAUGUAUUCAACGCCGCUUUAACAGGCUGGAAAACUGCCUGGUUCUAUAGGAGCUGCUCUCUGUAGGAACGUCCAUAAGACAUUUACGCAGACAAAAUAAUUUAUUACAGUUGAAUCAGUUAUUAAAUAUAUAAAUAUAAA